CGUUUGAUCCCAGACUAACGGUCCUGAUGAGGCCAAGUAUCCACCGCACCCGUCCCUUCAGAUCUCUCGACCUAGAGUGAAACCUAUGCGCCGCCGCAGAGAGAGGGUGACUAAUGGCGAUGGCGGCGAGGCGCCGUGACCCAAAGGAGGAAGGAAGCUGCCUGUUUCUGGAUGGACGAAGAGGAAACCAUCGCAUGGUCAUUCCCCUCCCCGACCCUUCAUUCUCUACCUCGCGGCAGGUGAACACGCUUGUCGCUGCCUCCGCCAUCUCUGCCACCCAUCCUCAUCCCGAUCCUUGUGUACCUAGGAGAUCAGGCUUCCCUCCCCGAGCUCGCCUCCUGCGGCUCCUCUCCACUUUGCGGCGACUAUUCCAUGCGCCGCCGCGACACCAGCCGCCUCCCAGUCGUCGGUGCCGCGAACCAGGACCGCCGUCCGGCUAUGAGAAUUUCCUCGACACCCAUCCGCCAGUUCGUCAGCCUGACCCUGCCCAUCUUCUCGCUCGUUCGCCAGUCUACAUGUUACCUCUCAGUUCGUGGGAUCUCCGGAUAUUCUCUACAGCUUUUGGAAGCAGGAACCUGGCACCGGAUUUACAUAGCAUGGAAGAUUUAUCAUUUUUUUAGAGAGAAGGAAGAUUUAUCAUUUCUGCCUACGUCUCCUUUAUUAUUUUUUCAUUCACGUUGUUUAAGCGUUGAGUUGACAGAUUAAUUAAUGGAAUAUGCAGGUUGGCUUUGUUCAUUGUUUAUUCUGAUGCUCGAUAGAGGUAGUUUGAGGUGUACGAAGAUGUGGACAUAUUGCAGAAACUUUGGCUUUGAUGUGUACCGGAAAUUAAGGAGCUCAGGACCAUAUACAUUCAGUCUAUCUAUAUAUACAGCAGUAAAUAACCUCAGCCAUCAGGUAAAUUCUUGCCUUCAGGUUACCUAUGAUGUGAAUCAUUCAAGUAAGGAUAAGCUAGCUUAUUAUCCUAGAAACUGCUAUUAGAAGAUGCCAUAAUCUGAAUAGUUAGCCAUCUGUUAAAAGCACAUCCACUUAAAUUUAUUUCUUGCAUGUACUCCCUCCGUUCGGAAUUACUUGUUGCGAAAAUGGAUGUAUCUAGAACUAAAAUACGUCUAGAUACAUCCAUUUCUGCGACGAGUAAUUCCGAACGGAGGAAGUAUAAGUUUUGGAUUGCGCAACUGCGCUAUGCAUACCAGUUCUGCUUGUUUAUAUGUUACUAAAAUAUUGCAUACAUAUCUACCGACAUAUAUGUAAUACUCUAUCAAAAUGAGAAUGGAUGGGAUAUUCCUAUCUUUCAUAGGUCUGCAUACUAUAUAAGCAUCCGAAGGCCUUCUAGCUAGCACCCUCCUGCAAUCACCCCCCAUGAGUGUAGGUAUGCUACUCAUAUGUUUCUCUCAUUUUCCCCUAGAAUUCUCCAUAUAUUUUUCACCUCCGCUUCUGUUUUACCCUCCCUUCCAUGCCCCUUCAGCAGCUGCAGCCUUUACUUAUCUUCUUCAUCCAAUAUGUCUGCAAGGUCUGUUAUUUUCAGGAUAUGAUGCUUUAGAGUCUGUUUUGUAUGCAUGUCAAUGCAGAUAUUUGGAAUAGACAGGGCCACAAUCCAAUAUGGUUUUGAUGCGAUCAGAAAUCCCAAUAUAGGAAAUAUGACGCCUUUUCGUGUGUUGUAUUUUGAUGUGAAAUUUACAUAGUUGAACAUUAUGGUUUCAUACCAGCUAAUGACGAAAUGUGAACUAUUUUUUGUUUUUAUUGGUAAAAAAAUGUGGCAACUCGCUAACAAGGGAAAAUCAUUACUCCCUUUUAUAUUUAUAAUAAUUCCGAUC